rfam:Brassica napus, WGS project CCCW01000000 data, contig: 25721
CUGUUCGCUGUUGGAGCAUCAUCAAGAUUCACAAAUCAUCAAGUCUAAGCAUUUUCGUGUAAUUGAAUCCACAUACAUAAUUAUGCUUGGUGUAUGUAUGAGAAUCUUGAUGAUGCUGCAGCUGCAAUCAG